ACGGCCGGUUUGAAUAGCAGGCGGACGGUAGAAAUAUGAAAGAAUAGGAAUACUUAAGCUCUCUGCUGUUAAUAAUAGAAUUAAUACUCGCAGAGACUAUCAGGUAAUAGUUCUGAGGAAAUCCAUUCUCCAUGGUGAAGGACUCUGUUUGGCAUGAAGUGAGCAGAGAGCAUCCAGGAAUUCAUCACAUGCCCCUUGCAUGUCACCUGUGAGAAGCUUGACUGCUCCGAGGAAGGAGUGCCCAAGAUCCUUUCCUCUCACACAGCCAUUGCCCACCAAUUAGGAGCCCUGGAGGGUCGUCAAUGGAGGAACUACUGUCUCAGCUGCCAGAGGAUGUGAUUGAGUCUGGUCUUAACAAGGAGGAUCCAGGAAGUGUUCCCCCUCCCUUCUGCAUUCCAUCUACAGGGAGGGCAUGUCACCAGGUGCCAGCAGCAGGGAGUCCGUGAAGCAAAGGAGUCUGGUGACAUCCAGCGAGAAAGUCAUUGUUCCAACAAUGUCAUUGUGUUGGCGUUGAACAAGGGUGAUCUAGGGAGGCAGCUCUCUCCUCCCUGCAAAGAGGACGUCGACUUUAGACUCAGGAAGGAUAUGCAUCAAAUUCUCCUCGUUAUGGUCUGAAAACUGCAAGGAGUUUCUGCAGCAAAUGUACAUGUCACACGUAGACCUAAUUAAGGGGUGUGUUGUGGGGAAAUUGACAGUCAGUAGGGCUGCUUUGGUUUGCAUAUUGCAGUGGAACGCCCCUUUAAUAUUCUUUCAGUGACCCCAAGUCAAUACUCUUGGUGGUAAAUUCCUUCCAUUUAAGAUUUUCAUCACUUUAGAGUCCAAAUGCACUUCUUCCAAAGGAAACCUUACACAUAGGGUGACCAACUCUCCCGUAUUAGAGCUAAUUUUUUUGGAUACUCCUGGCUCCCGUAUUGACCUUCUAUUUCUCCCGUAUAUUUCAUUAACAAUCAAGGUCGCAAAAUUUAAAUUAUAUAUUAUUC